rnacentral:rRNA from 1 species
UGGGGAAUAUUGCACAAUGGGCGCAAGCCUGAUGCAGCCAUGCCGCGUGUGUGAAGAAGGCCUUCGGGUUGUAAAGCACUUUCAGCGGGGAGGAAGGCGGUGAGGUUAAUAACCUCAUCGAUUGACGUUACCCGCAGAAGAAGCACCGGCUAACUCCGUGCCAGCAGCCGCGGUAAUACGGAGGGUGCAAGCGUUAAUCGGAAUUACUGGGCGUAAAGCGCACGCAGGCGGUCUGUCAAGUCGGAUGUGAAAUCCCCGGGCUCAACCUGGGAACUGCAUUCGAAACUGGCAGGCUAGAGUCUUGUAGAGGGGGGUAGAAUUCCAGGUGUAGCGGUGAAAUGCGUAGAGAUCUGGAGGAAUACCGGUGGCGAAGGCGGCCCCCUGGACAAAGACUGACGCUCAGGUGCGAAAGCGGGGGGAGCAAACAGG